rnacentral:misc_RNA from 1 species
AGAACAUUCAUCUAUAGAGAAUAGGGCUAUUGAAAUAAAUAAACCCAAAGUUGAAAGAGAUUACAAGAACAAGGUCACAAGUUUCUGCAGCUUAGUGAGUAAGCAAAAUUACAAACUAGCAACAAAAAGAAUGAUAUAUGUACUUCCAAGAAACAAUUUACACAAAACAAGCGCAAACUAUGAACCAAGGCAGUUGCACCAGAAUUUGCAAAACUGCCUUCGUCGUGAAUACUUUACUUACACUUGGAAUACACCUAGGUUAUAAAAACACAACAACGAAAGCUAUUGACUUGACGAGGGGUUGGCGCUGCCCCUGUUUACUUUGGUUUGGCUAUGGUCAUGAAGUUAUUAACAGAUUAGUUUUGGAUGUAGCUAUAGUUGUUCAGCCUGCUUUGAGGAUUCCAAGUGUGGAGGUAAAAGAUUAAGGAAACUUCCAUGAGCCUGUUGAGAGUCGGUGGCUUCUGAAUCCUCACUGAAAAGCGACUUCACAGUAGGCCUCUUAGCUUUGUUGCUCUUCUUCUUCAAUUCAGCCAUUUGAGAAACAUCGUUAUCAUUCACAAUCUCAAAGUUUUUGUAAGUGUAACCCAUAAAGUUGACAUCCUUUGAGGAGAGCAUCUUCCUCCAUGGACCUGAUUUUGCUGCAGUUGGAAUUUGAUUGUCGCCCUCUUCAAACUUCUCAAAAUUCUGAGUAUCCAACUCGCCAUUAACUUCUGGAAUAAAUGCAGCUUUCAUUUGA